GACGAACGCUGGCGGCGUGCUUAACACAUGCAAGUCGAACGGAAAGGCCCUGCUUUUGUGGGGUGCUCGAGUGGCGAACGGGUGAGUAACACGUGAGUAACCUGCCCUUGACUUUGGGAUAACUUCAGGAAACUGGGGCUAAUACCGGAUAGGAGCUCCUGCUGCAUGGUGGGGGUUGGAACGUUUCGGCGGUUGGGGAUGGACUCGCGGCUUAUCGGCUUGUUGGUGGGGUAGUGGCUUACCAAGGCUUUGACGGGUAGCCGGCCUGGGAGGGUGACCGGCCACAUUGGGACUGAGAUACGGCCCAGACUCCUACGGGAGGCAGCAGUGGGGAAUAUUGCACAAUGGGCGGAAGCCUGAUGCAGCAACGCCGCGUGCGGGAUGACGGCCUUCGGGUUGUAAACCGCUUUCGCCUGUGACGAAGCGUGAGUGACGGUAAUGGGUAAAGAAGCACCGGCUAACUACGUG
rnacentral:rRNA from 1 species